rnacentral:rRNA from 1 species
UAUCUCUGUAGAGUCUGCAUAUCAAUAAGCGGAGGAAAAGAAACUAACUAGGAUUCCCUCAGUAACGGCGAGUGAAGCGGGAAGAGCUCAAAUUUGAAAUCUUCAAGGUUCUACCUUGACGAAUUGUAGUUUAAAGAAGUGUUUUCUGUUGGAGUUUUGGUAAAAGUUCUUUGGAAUAGGACAUCAUAGAGGGUGAGAAUCCCGUAUUUGACCAUUAUUUCCAGCUUUGUGAUACACUUUCAAAGAGUCGGAUUGUUUGGGAAUGCAGUCCAAAAUGGGUGGUAAAUUUCAUCUAAAGCUAAAUAUUGGCGAGAGACCGAUAGCGAACAAGUACCGUGAGGGAAAGAUGAAAAGAACUUUGAAAAGAGAGUUAAACAGUACGUGAAAUUGUCAAAAGGGAAGCGUUUGACACCAGUGUUGUUUUUCCGAAAAUCAAUUAAAAGUGGAUUCAUGCUAAGUUGUAUUGACCUUAUCAGCUUGCAAUUUAGUUUUGGGUUUCUUUUUGAUGCACUUUUCGGUUAACAAGUCAACAUCAAUUUCCUUUGCUGUAAAAAGGCAGGAGGAAGGUGGCUUCAAUUUCGGUUGAAGUGUUUAUAGCCUUCUGUCUCUGCAGUCGGGGAGAUUGAGGUCUGCAGCCUAGAUCCUUCGGGGCUAGAUACAUUCGUGCUAAGUUAUAGCCUUUUAUAGACAACUUGUUGACUAUGAUUGGUCUUGUAAUUUACUCGCGAGUGCUAUUUUACCUACGCUUAGGAUGUUGAUCUACAGAGCGAGAGU